AUUGAACGCUGGCGGCAUGCCUUACACAUGCAAGUCGAACGGUAACGGGCCUUCGGGUGCCGACGAGUGGCGAACGGGUGAGUAAUGUAUCGGAACGUACCUUUCAGUGGGGGAUAACGUAGCGAAAGUUACGCUAAUACCGCAUAUUCUGUGAGCAGGAAAGCAGGGGAUCGCAAGACCUUGCGCUGAUUGAUCGGCCGAUAUCAGAUUAGCUAGGUGGUGUGGUAAAGGCUCACCAAGGCGACGAUCUGUAGCGGGUCUGAGAGGAUGAUCCGCCACACUGGAACUGAGACACGGUCCAGACUCCUACGGGAGGCAGCAGUGGGGAAUUUUGGACAAUGGGGGCAACCCUGAUCCAGCCAUGCCGCGUGAGUGAAGAAGGCCUUCGGGUUGUAAAGCUCUUUCGGCCGGGAAGAAAUCGUAUGGGUUAAUACCCUGUGCGGAUGACGGUACCGGCAUAAGAAGCACCGGCAAACUUCGUGCCAGCCGCCGCCGUAAUAC
rnacentral:rRNA from 1 species